CGAUUAGAGUUUGAUCCUGGCUCAGGACGAACGCUGGCGGCGUGCUUAAUACAUGCAAGUCGAACGAGGUCCAUCCGGUGGCAACACCGGUGAAGACCUAGUGGCGAACGGGUGAGUAGCACGUGAGCAACCUGCCCCGAAGACUGGGAUAACACCGGGAAACCGGUGCUAAUACCGGAUACCCCCAUGGGAUCGCAUGAUCCAAUGAGGAAAGGAUUCUGCUUCGGGAGGGGCUCGCGGCCUAUCAGCUUGAUGGUGAGGUAACGGCUCACCAUGGCGACGACGGGUAGCUGGUCUGAGAGGACGAUCAGCCACACUGGGACUGAGACACGGCCCAGACUCCUACGGGAGGCAGCAGUAGGGAAUCUUGCGCAAUGGGCGAAAGCCUGACGCAGCAACGCCGCGUGAGGGACGAAGGCUUUCUGAGUUGUAAACCUCUUUCAGCAGGGACGAUUGUGACGGUACCUGCAGAAGAAGCACCGGCCAACUACGUGCCAGCAGCCGCGGUGAUACGUAGGGUGCGAGCGUUGUCCGGAUUUAUUGGGCGUAAAGAGCUCGUAGGCGGUUCGAUAAGUCGGGGGUGAAAUCUCCAGGCUCAACCUGGAGUCCCCACUCGAUACUGUCGUGACUCGAGUCCGGUAGGGGACCAUGGAAU
rnacentral:rRNA from 1 species